rnacentral:lncRNA from 1 species
CCAAUACAUAGUUGGGAGGUAAAUGAGGUUUCAUCCCAGUCAAUGGAACAAGAGCCACCCCGAGAACAAUUCAACUUAGGCCGAAUUGCCCCUCGUUCUCUCCUCCCCUGCUUUGUACCAGGCUUGGAAUAGUGUCGGCAUCGGAGCCUAAGACAGUCUCGAGGGGGGUGUUCCCUCUUCCUAGAGUAGGGUCAGGGGAUAUGAUCACUGCUUUAGGGAGGCAUAGGAAGGUAAUAAAGAAAUAUACCAGAAGGAAAGUUGAGGUGACUCCGGUCCAGAUGAUGGGGCUUUCGGAGAUAAGGUCUGUAGAGAACCCAGACUGGAUCAAAGUAUCAGGUCAAGAGGGCUUGCGAAGUAAUGUGAGUAGGAAGAAAAAAUAUUAUGCCCAUGGAGGGGAUUUAAGCUCCAAAGUAGGUGCGGAAGAAGCUGCACUGAAGGGCAGUUG